AUUGAACGCUGGCGGCAGGCCUAACACAUGCAAGUCGAACGAGUGGCGGACGGGUGUGUAAUGUCUGGGAAACUGCCCGGGGGAGGGGGAAAAACACGGAAAACGGUAGCUAAUACCGCAUACCAUCGGAUGUGCCCAGAUGGGAUUCGCUAUUAGGGGGGGUAACGGCUCACCAAGGCGACGAUCCCUAGCUGGUCUGAGAGGAUGACCAGCCACACUGGAACUGAGACACGGUCCAGACUCCUACGGGAGGCAGCAGUGGGGAAUAUUGCACAAUGGGCGCAAGCCUGAUGCAGCCAUGCCGCGUGUGUGAAGAAGGCCUUCGGGUUGUAAAGUACUUUCAGCGGGGAGGCGUUACUCGCAGAAGAAGCACCGGCUAACUCCGUGCCAGCAGCCGCGGUAAUUC
rnacentral:rRNA from 1 species